GGUGGUAAAAUUUUCAACCAGAUCUUUGAAGCCAGAAAUAAGAAAAUUACACUUGUUUGAAUUUCUCACUGUACGAUCAGUCUCGCUUGUUUAUUUUAAAACUGUAUGAUCAGUCUUUAUGUCACUGUAUUCCAGUGGUGAUUUCAAAGUUAUUUACGAUACAUUAGGGAGCUACCAUUUGAUUUUAAUGGGGGGGGGGGGGGCUAGGAUGAAAUUUGAAAAAAAUAGGCAGGACAGGAGUUUUGAGUAAAAAAAAAAGGCAGGAUUAGACACUUGCAAAAAAAAUAGUCAGGACGACAAUUUAGGUAAAAAAAAGUCAGGAUAAACUAAAAAAAAAGACAGGACCGAACAGAGUGAAAAAUAAAAAGGCAGGACAGAGAUUACAGCUAAAAAAAAAGGCAGGACAAAAUUUUUCAUCCUAGCCCCCCAUAAAAAUCAAAUGGUAGCUCCCUUAG
rnacentral:lncRNA from 1 species